rnacentral:rRNA from 1 species
CCUACGGGUGGCAGCAGUGAGGAAUAUUGGUCAAUGGGCGCGAGCCUGAACCAGCCAAGUAGCGUGAAGGAUGACUGCCCUACGGGUUGUAAACUUCUUUUAUAAAGGAAUAAAGCGAGGCACGUGUGCCUUUUUGCAUGUACUUUAUGAAUAAGGAUCGGCUAACUCCGUGCCAGCAGCCGCGGUAAUACGGAGGAUGCGAGCGUUAUCCGGAUUUAUUGGGUUUAAAGGGAGCGUAGAUGGGUUGUUAAGUCAGUUGUGAAAGUUUGAGGCUCAACCGUGGAAUUGCAAUUGAUACUGUCAGUCUUGAGUACAGUUGAGGUAGGCAGAAUUCCUGGUGUAGCGGUGAAAUGCGUAGAUAUUACGAGGAACUCCGAUUGCGAAGGCAGCUUACUAAACUGUCACUGACAUUGAUGCUCGAAAGUGUGGGGAUCAAACAGGAUUAGAUACCCCAGUAGUC